rnacentral:rRNA from 1 species
CAAAACUCUUUUUAUUAAUGUCGUCUGAGUACUAUAUAAUAGUUAAAACUUUCAACAACGGAUCUCUUGGUUCUGGCAUCGAUGAAGAACGCAGCGAAAUGCGAUAAGUAAUGUGAAUUGCAGAAUUCAGUGAAUCAUCGAAUCUUUGAACGCACAUUGCGCCCCUUGGUAUUCCGGGGGGCAUGCCUGUUCGAGCGUCAUUU